ACUCCUACGGGAGGCAGCAGUGGGGAAUAUUGCACAAUGGGCGCAAGCCUGAUGCAGCCAUGCCGCGUGUAUGAAGAAGGCCUUGGGUUGUAAAGUACUUUCAGCAGUGAGGAAGGUGGGGUAUGUUAAUAGCAUACUCAUUUGACGUUAGCUGCAGAAGAAGCACCGGCUAACUCCGUGCCAGCAGCCGCGGUAAUACGGAGGGUGCGAGCGUUAAUCGGAAUUACUGGGCGUAAAGCGCAUGCAGGUGGUUUGUUAAGUCAGAUGUGAAAGCCCGGGGCUCAACCUCGGAAUUGCAUUUGAAACUGGCAAACUAGAGUACUGUAGAGGGGGUAGAAUUUCAGGUGUAGCGGUGAAAUGCGUAGAGAUCGUGAAGGAAUACCGGUGGCGAAGGCGGCCCCUGGACAGAUACUGACACUCAGAUGCGAAAGCGUGGGAGCAAACAGGAUUAGAUACCCCGUGUAGGUCAGUC
rnacentral:rRNA from 1 species